rnacentral:lncRNA from 10 species
GUGCUCUCUGCACCCCCAGCUGCUGGAGCCCAGAGGGUGGCAGCCUGGAGCUGGGGCAGCGGUGCCUGGUGCAGUGAGGACUCGGUCUGUGUGGCCUGGUUAGCACAGGACCAUGAGGAAGGGGUGAGGACCAUCAAUAAGAGGCCAUCUCCAAGGCCUGCCUUCAGAGGUUUGGCCAAGGCAUCCCCAGGGACAAGCACGGAUGACAGCAGAUGCUGCUGUCUCUUGGGGCCUGCACCUCGGCAGAGGCUGAUUCCAGCUUGCAGUUCUCCGCCACUUGCAGGUUGCCCUGGAGUUUGCAGUAUGCAUUUACAACUAAUCCAAGUCCACUUUGAAAUAAUUCUAUACUGCUUCAAGGUCAUGGAGGACAUUCAGGACUUGAGCACUUACCAAAUCACCUUUGAAGUGGAGCCCUGUGUGUGCUGAGACCACUAGGACCCUGGAACGGGUGCCCGUCACUCACAGAGCCUGUCAGCUUCAGAGGCUGGAAAUGGAAAUCCCAGGCCUACUUGUACACAGGAAUCUCCUGGAGCGAGGAUGUCCUCUUUUCUGAUACCCGCAGAACUGGCAUUUAAGGGGAUGCCUGUGCAGUAUAGCGAAGGAUAGAGCCUCAGAAAUAGCCCUUCUGGAUCAAUCACGUCUCUAGUUUCUAUAAAUGGAAGCUUAACAUCUGCUCUGCAUGUGUAUGCCAGAUCCACCUUGUUCUGGACAACCCUGUGACAUGCCUGAGUCACCCAGCCUUGGCCCUUCCCUGCUCACUGCCUCCUCUCCCUCCUUCGAGAGAAGUCAUCCUCCCAGGAAUGUGCUUUUCAAAUACAAACCAACCAAUCCAGAGUCCACACACCGUACUAACUGGGCUCUCAUGAUCCAGGCCACUGUCCUCCUGCCCUAAUCACCUCAGGGCCAGGUACCAGACAACCAAGGACAGCACCUGUGCCCCAGAGCCUGCGGAGAUUACCUACUCACCCUGCCUCGCCCAUUCCUUCCUGCAGAAAACACAACUCAGACUCUUGCCCACAGUUCCCCAGCCCCUCUUGUGACUGACCCUGGUGCCUCCCCAUGUGACCCCACCAUGGCAUCAUGGGGGCUCCCUCUCUUGGGACCUGUUGGCAUGAUAAGCUAUGUUUCCAAUAGCAGUCAUCUCCUCAUCUCGGCCUCAUCACACCUAAAGAAUAAUAAAACCCGUUGAAACACCUUCAACUCAACAGGACAGACUGGCCCAUUGGAAUCAUUUAGACUUGCAGACAUUUUGUUCAUGCUGUACAGCGUUUCUUCCAGGUACUCUGUUUCGCAGCAGAAAGAGCAGGGCUGAGAUUCACAGACCUGACUUCAGAUCCCCCUUCUAUCACUUACUAGCAUGUGGUCAUCUAUAAUUUACAUAGAUGUGGAAUAAUCCACAGUUUUGAGUAUUUUACUCUCUAGACCUGUGGAAAAUUACUGCUUCCUUUAGUCCUAAAUGUGGAAAAGAAAAUUUGUGUUUAUAUUGUGCCACAAUCUGGGGGGAGGGAGGGAGGGAGAAAAAUGUCAUAUCUGAAACACUCAAAUGAAAACCUUAUAUGUUACUACAUACAUAAAUAUUCAUAUUUAUAGAUAUGUAAAUGUUUAUUUAAAUGUCAGUGGCACCUUCAUUAUUGCGGAUAAGUAGCCCUGGGUGAACAGUCUGUAUUUAUCAACAUCGAGAUUGAAAUUAAGGCUAACCAUUGACCUCAGCCUGCAAUUGACGUAGUUGACGCACUCUUUCAGAGUCAGAUGAUAGUUCAUCAGUAAAAUGAGAAUAAUAAUAACUACUUCCUAAUAUGGUACAGGAUUAAUUGAGAUACAUUUUGUAAAGGACUCCAAAGGAUGUCUUACACAAAGGAGAAGCUUAAGGAGCUCAUCCCUCUAACUCAGUCACCUGAAGAUCUCAUGGGUAAAGUCAGAGACAUCCUCACCCUGAAGAGAGUAGUGCAGGCAAGUGUGGGAAUGCUGUGUGUGGCAGAGACGACCCUGACCCUGGUCUUCUAAAUCAUUUAGAAGAACCGUGUUCUUUCUGAUGAAGAUUCCCACCUGAAAAUGUUCAUAUCAAGGUGACUGAUGUUCUAGAGCAGCAUUGUCCAGCGAAACUUUCUUCAGUGAUGGGAAGGUCCUGUGCCUCUGCUGUCCAGGAUGGCAUCCACUCCCACCUUUACCUACUGAGCACUUGAAAUGUGGCGACUGCAACUGAGGAGCUGAAUUUUUUUAUUUAAUUUAAAUUUAAGUUUAAAUUUAGGGAACCACAUGUGGCUCAUAGCUACCACGUUGGCAUAGACCUAGAGCUCAUCUAAAAAGUGAAACAAGUGUGGAUCCUCCUAUAACUAAGAAAAAAGAAAACUUACCCUUUCAUCUUGAGGUAGGAGGUGGGACUCAAUUCUGGAAGCAGGGCUCAGACAUUGGACCAAAUUGAGGACUAGUUAAAAUAGGAACUAGGAAUGGGGUGGAGACACCUUUCCAUAAGACAUGCCCACCAGUGUGCCAUGUCAAUUUACCAUUGUUGUGGCAACACCUGGAAGUUACCACCCCUUUCCAUGGCAAUGACCUGAUGACCCAGAAGUUACCACCCCUUUUCUAGAAAUUUCUGCAUA